AUGCACGCUGGCGGCGUGCCUAAUCCAUGCCAGUCGCGCGAACAGACGAGGAGCUUGCUCCUCUGACGUUAGCGGCGGACGGGUGAGUAACACGUGGAUAACCUACCUAUAAGACUGGGAUAACUUCGGGAAACCGGAGCUAAUACCGGAUAAUAUAUUGAACCGCAUGGUUCAAUAGUGAAAGACGGUUUUGCUGUCACUUAUAGAUGGAUCCGCGCCGCAUUAGCUAGUUGGUAAGGUAACGGCUUACCAAGGCGACGAUGCGUAGCCGACCUGAGAGGGUGAUCGGCCACACUGGAACUGAGACACGGUCCAGACUCCUACGGGAGGCAGCAGUAGGGAAUCUUCCGCAAUGGGCGAAAGCCUGACGGAGCAACGCCGCGUGAGUGAUGAAGGUCUUCGGAUCGUAAAACUCUGUUAUUAGGGAAGAACAAAUGUGUAAGUAACUAUGCACGUCUUGACGGUACCUAAUCAGAAAGCCACGGCUAACUACGUG
rnacentral:rRNA from 1 species